AUGUGUUUUGUUUUGUUUAUUACCCUGUAGUUUAUCAUAAACUUUGUUUUGUAAUUUAUAAUGUAUUUUGUAUUUUAAGAAUUGUAUUUUUAUUU